UACGGGGGGGGGCAAGCGUUGUUCGGAAUUACUGGGCGUAAAGGGUUCGUAGGUGGCCAAUUAAGUCAGACGUGAAAUCCCUCAGCUUAACUGGGGAACUGCGUCUGAGACUGGAUGGCCAUUGAGUGCAGGAGAGGAACGCGGAAUUCCAGGUGUAGCGGUGAAAUGCGUAGAUAUCUGGAGGAACACCGGUGGCGAAGGCGGCGUUCUGGACUGCAACUGACACUGAGGAACGAAGCCAGGGAGCAAACGGG
rnacentral:rRNA from 1 species